CACGUAGGGCGCAAGCGUUGUCCGGAAUUAUUGGGCGUAAAGAGCUCGUAGGUGGUUUGCUGCGUCCGCUGUGAAAACCCAAGGCUUAACCUUGGGCUUGCAGUGGAUACGGGCAGACUAGAGUGCGGUAGGGGAGACUGGAAUUCCUGGUGUAGCGGUGAAAUGCGCAGAUAUCAGGAGGAACACCGGUGGCGAAGGCGGGUCUCUGGGCCGUAACUGACGCUGAGGAGCGAAAGCGUGGGGAGCGAACAGG
rnacentral:rRNA from 1 species